GUGUUGAACUGCAGUCUAUCUGGUUCAGAUAUGAAUUAAGCGUGGGUGUAGUUUAUUUUCAUUGCGCUCGCUAACUCUUAACACCGCCAGUAGUUAUAAUUAGGCCGUUAAGCAAUGUAGCUAGCUGUGCAUGCAAACUAACACGAUGGGGUUUCUCUAAUGCUGGACGGUUUCUAUGAUGCUAUUCUAGUUGUAAUUAUGUUAGUGCUUAAGUAACUUUAUUUUAUUAAUUUAGUUAAGUAUUAUCUCUAUUUGUUAGGUAGUUUAAAACUUUAUAAGGUCGAGCGGACGCGCCGGCGCGUCCGAGCACAUAACUUUUUUUUGUAAGACAACACAGGCAAGAUCUAGCCUGGUAGUUUCCAUUCAAACUUCUGUCAAAAGUGCGAAAUCUCAACUAUAUGACAGUUUAUGAGUGGUCUCAAUUGGCAAAGUUAAACCAUAUUUAUGAUAAGUCGAUCACUCCAUUUGGAAGGCUGCCGUAGUCACAUUUUGAUAUUCAUCUCAUCUCUGUUCCUCUCUGUCCUUUUUUCAGGAUCCCAUCAUGUUCUAUGUUUUUUCAGGAGGUUCACUUGACCAUGCAGACUUUUGGAUUCCUCUAAGUUCCCAUGUUUGAGGAAGCAUUUGGCGUGUUGCUGUGCAAAGUGUUGCUGCAGUGGAGGUUCAAGGUUACUGUUUAUUGAUAUGGAUCCCAUCAUACUUUGUUCAUUGUUUGUUCAGGAGUUUGCCCUAAGUCUCCGUGUUUGAGGGCCUAUUCUGUGGAUAUAUUUAUUUGCACUUUUAUUGAUGCAGUAAAUAAAUAGUCUAUGAAAAAAUCAUUAAAUCUGUC